rnacentral:rRNA from 1 species
AUCGGAAUUACUGGGCGUAAAGGGAGCGUAGGUGGCUCUAUAAGUCAGAUGUGAAAUCCCCGGGCUUAACCUGGGAACUGCAUCUGAAACUGUAGAGCUAGAGUAUGUGAGAGGAAGGUAGAAUUCCAGGUGUAGCGGUGAAAUGCGUAGAGAUCUGGAGGAAUACCGAUGGCGAAGGCAGCCUUCUGGCAUAAUACUGACACUGAGGCUCGAAAGCGUGGGUAGCAAACAGGAUUAGAUACCCUGGUAGUCCACGCCGUAAACGAUGUCUACUAGUCGUUGGGUCCCUUGAGGACUUAGUGACGCAGCUAACGCAAUAAGUAGACCGCCUGGGGAGUACGGCCGCAAGGUUAAAACUCAAAUGAAUUGACGGGGGCCCGCACAAGCGGUGGAGCAUGUGGUUUAAUUCGAUGCAACGCGAAGAACCUUACCUGGUCUUGACAUAUCUAGAAUCCUGCAGAGAUGCGGGAGUGCCUUCGGGAAUUAGAAUACAGGUGCUGCAUGGCUGUCGUCAGCUCGUGUCGUGAGAUGUUGGGUUAAGUCCCGCAACGAGCGCAACCCUUGUCCUUAGUUACCAGCGGGUUAAGCCGGGAACUCUAAGGAUACUGCCAGUGACAAACUGGAGGAAGGCGGGGACGACGUCAAGUCAUCAUGGCCCUUACGACCAGGGCUACACACGUGCUACAAUGGUAGGUACAGAGGGCAGCUACACAGCGAUGUGAUGCGAAUCUCAAAAAGCCUAUCGUAGUCCAGAUUGGAGUCUGCAACUCGACUCCAUGAAGUAGGAAUCGCUAGUAAUCGCGGAUCAGAAUGCCGCGGUGAAUACGUUCCCGGGCCUUGUACACACCGCCCGUCACACCAUGGGAGUUGAUUGCACCAGAAGUGGAUAGCUUAACCUUCGGGGGAGCGUC